rnacentral:rRNA from 1 species
UUGCCAGCAGCUGCGGUUAGACUAUGCGGGAUUGGAGAAAUAGCCGGCUAGUAGUUAUAAGUUGUCUUCUAGUACAAGCUUUAAAUUUAACUAGGGGUGAAAUUUUAAAUUAGAGUUUAUUGGUUGUGUGACGAAGUUAUUUUAGAGGCUAUUAAUAUUUAGGUAUAAACCAGGAUUAGAUACCCUGCUAUACUAUAUAUAGAAUUUAAGUAUGCUGGAGUAGUAAUCAGUUAUGGUCUUUAAACUUAAAGGAUUUGGCGGUACUCAAGUCUAGUUAGAGGAACCUGCACUAUAAACGAUAAUCCCCGAAAUAUCUUACUUUAUCUUGUCUCCAGUUUAUAUACCGCCAUUAUAAAAUAAUACUAAAAAUUAUUUAUUAGGAUAAAAUAUGUUUAUUAUAUUAGGUCAAGGUGUAGCCGAUGGUAGAGUAGUUGUGGGUUACAAUGUGUUAUACAUAAACGAAUGUUUGUUAUGAAUAUAGCAUCUAAAGGUGGAUUUAAUUGUAAGUUUGUUUUAAUAUGAGAGGUUGAUAAAAGCUCUAGAGUAUGUACAUAUCGCCCGUCGCUCUCGUAUUAAAGUGAGAUAAGUCGUAACAAAGUA